AACGAAGCUUCCGUUGAAUGACGUGCUUGCACUGAUUUCAACAAUGAAGCGAGUGGCGAACUGGUGAGUAACACGUGGGGAAUCUGCCCAGAAGCAGGGGAUAACACUUGGAAACAGGUGCUAAUACCGUAUAACAACAAAAUCCGCAUGGAUUUUGUUUGAAAGGUGGCUUCGGCUAUCACUUCUGGAUGAUCCCGCGGCGUAUUAGUUAGUUGGUGAGGUAAAGGCCCACCAAGACGAUGAUACGUAGCCGACCUGAGAGGGUAAUCGGCCACAUUGGGACUGAGACACGGCCCAAACUCCUACGGGAGGCAGCAGUAGGGAAUCUUCCACAAUGGACGAAAGUCUGAUGGAGCAAUGCCGCGUGAGUGAAGAAGGGUUUCGGCUCGUAAAACUCUGUUGUUAAAGAAGAACACCUUUGAGAGUAACUGUUCAAGGGUUGACGGUAUUUAACCAGAAAGCCACGGCUAACUACGUGCCAGCAGCCGCGGUAAUACGUAGGUGGCAAGCGUUGUCCGGAUUUAUUGGGCGUAAAGCGAGCGCAGGCGGUUUUUUAAGUCUGAUGUGAAAGCCUUCGGCUUAACCGGAGAAGUGCAUCGGAAACUGGGAGACUUGAGUGCAGAAGAGGACAGUGGAACUCCAUGUGUAGCGGUGGAAUGCGUAGAUAUAUGGAAGAACACCAGUGGCGAAAGCGGCUGUCUAGUCUGUAACUGACGCUGAGGCUCGAAAGCAUGGUAGCGAACAGGAUUAGAUACCCUGGUAGUCCAUGCGUAACGAUGAGUGCUAGUGUGAGGUUUCGCCCUCAGUGCUGCAGCUACGCAUAGCACUC
rnacentral:rRNA from 2 species